CAGGCUUAACACAUGCAAGUCGAGGGGCAUCAGGAAGAAAGCUUGCUUUCUUUGCUGGCGACCGGCGCACGGGUGAGUAACACGUAUCCAACCUGCCCUUUACUCGGGGAUAGCCUUUCGAAAGAAAGAUUAAUACCCGAUAGCAUAAUGAUUCUGCAUGGUUUCAUUAUUAAAGGAUUCCGGUAAAGGAUGGGGAUGCGUUCCAUUAGGUUGUUGGUGAGGUAACGGCCCACCAAGCCUUCGAUGGAUAGGGGUUCUGAGAGGAAGGUCCCCCACAUUGGAACUGAGACACGGUCCAAACUCCUACGGGAGGCAGCAGUGAGGAAUAUUGGUCAAUGGGCGCUAGCCUGAACCAGCCAAGUAGCGUGAAGGAUGAAGGCUCUAUGGGUCGUAAACUUCUUUUAUAUAAGAAUAAAGUGCAGUAUGUAUACUGUUUUGUAUGUAUUAUAUGAAUAAGGAUCGGCUAACUCCGUGCCAGCAGCCGCGGUAAUACGGAGGAUCCGAGCGUUAUCCGGAUUUAUUGGGUUUAAAGGGAGCGUAGGUGGACUGGUAAGUCAGUUGUGAAAGUUUGCGGCUCAACCGUAAAAUUGCAGUUGAUACUGUCAGUCUUGAGUACAGUAGAGGUGGGCGGAAUUCGUGGUGUAGCGGUGAAAUGCUUAGAUAUCACGAAGAACUCCGAUUGCGAAGGCAGCUCACUGGACUGCAACUGACACUGAUGCUCGAAAGUGUGGGUAUCAAACAGGAUUAGAUACCCUGGUAGUCCACACAGUAAACGAUGAAUACUCGCUGUUUGCGAUAUACAGUAAGCGGCCAAGCGAAAGCAUUAAGUAUUCCACCUGGGGAGUACGCCGGCAACGGUGAAACUCAAAGGAAUUGACGGGGGCCCGCACAAGCGGAGGAACAUGUGGUUUAAUUCGAUGAUACGCGAGGAACCUUACCCGGGCUUAAAUUGCAGUGGAAUGAUGUGGAAACAUGUCAGUGAGCAAUCACCGCUGUGAAGGUGCUGCAUGGUUGUCGUCAGCUCGUGCCGUGAGGUGUCGGCUUAAGUGCCAUAACGAGCGCAACCCUUAUCUUUAGUUACUAACAGGUUAUGCUGAGGACUCUAGAGAGACUGCCGUCGUAAGAUGUGAGGAAGGUGGGGAUGACGUCAAAUCAGCACGGCCCUUACGUCCGGGGCUACACACGUGUUACAAUGGGGGGUACAGAAGGCAGCUAGCGGGUGACCGUAUGCUAAUCCCAAAAUCCUCUCUCAGUUCGGAUCGAAGUCUGCAACCCGACUUCGUGAAGCUGGAUUCGCUAGUAAUCGCGCAUCAGCCACGGCGCGGUGAAUACGUUCCCGGGCCUUGUACACACCGCCCGUCAAGCCAUGGGAGCCGGGGGUACCUGAAGUACGUAACCGCAAGGAUCGUCCUAGGGUAAAACUGGUGACUGGGGCUAAGUC
rnacentral:rRNA from 1 species